AUCAGCACCCUGUCAAAACGGACCAAUCAACUCUCUGUAAAACAGACCAAUCAGCUCUCUGUAAAAUGGACCAAUCAGCAGGAUGUGGGUGGGUCCAGAUAAGGGAAUAAAAGCAGGCUGCCGGAGCCGGGAGUGGCAAUCCCCUAAUGUUCCCUUCCACCUUGUGGAAGUUUUGUUCUUUCGCUCUUUGCAAUAAAUCCCAUUGUUGCUCGCUCUUUGGGGUCUCACUGUCUGUGCGAGCUGUAAUACUCGCCGCAAAGGUGUCUGGCUUCACUUCCGAGACCAGCGAGACCCCGAACCCACCGGGAGGAAUGAACAACUCCGGAUGGGAGGGACAAACAACACCAGACGCACCGCCUUAAGAGUCCUAACGCUCACCGCGGAGGUCUGCGGCUUCACUCUUGAAUGAAGCCAGCGAGAUCACAAACCCACCAGAAGGAAGGAACUCUGAACACAUCCGAAAAUCAGAAGGAACAAACUCCGGACACACUACCUUUAAGAACUGUAACACUCAAAUCGCGAGGGUCCACGGCUUCGUUCUUGAAGUCAGUGAGACCAAGAACCCACAAAUUCCGGACACUUCCCCACACAGAGGGAACUGGCCUAACACUCUGGUGGUGCCAAUAGGAUGUACUGACAGAUCAGAAGUGGUCGUGAGAGAAGGAGCAAGUAGCCAGAAGAGUGAAGUGUGCACUGGCUGAGAUGUGGGAGCAGGUGUUGUUGGUUUCCCCGGAGUAAGUUACCUUGAGUGAGUUAAGGUUAAGAUAUCCCAGGGGUGAGGUUGAGCAGGCAGUUGUGUAUGUGACCCUGGGGAAAGUCUAGCUGAAGAUACAAAGAUGGGAUGAGAUCACCAAGGAGUAAGUGUCUUUAGCAAAGAGAAGAGACCAAGGACUGAAUCUGGAUACCUCAACAUUUGGAGUCAGAGCCUGAAAAGGAUCCCUCAAAAGUGCCCAAGAAGCAGCAGAAUGAGGAAAGACAGCCCAGGGAGUGUGGCACAGCUGCUCCUCACCACUUCAGGCUCCCCUGGAGUCCAAUGCACUGGGGCCUCAUUCCUGGGUAUUAUAAUUGCCUCCUAAGUGGCCUCUGGCUUAUGUCUCCUACCCCAGUUGAUGUUCAUCACAUCAGCCAGAGUGGCUCUGUUAACACCCAAGCCAGUUCCUGCCCAUCUGCUGAGAAUCUUCAAGGGCUUUCACCUCACUCUGAGUCGAAGCCAAUAUCUUCACAAUGGCCUGGCCCUUUGCCAACUGCUGUGGUUUAAAUGUUUGUACCCUUCAAAACUUAGGUUGAAAUUUGCUUGGCAACAUGGUGGUGGCAGGAGGUGGAACCUUUGGGAUGUGAUAGGGCCAAGGGCUCUGCCCUCAGGGGUAGGAUUAAUGCUGUUACAAAAGAGCAAGUUUGACUUUCUUUUGCCUCUUUGCCCUUCUACCUUCCUUCCUGGGAGGAUGCAGCAAGAAGGCCCUCGCCAGAUAUCAAGGCCUUAAGCUUGGACUUCCCAGCCUCCAGAACUGUCUUAUGUAUCAACAAAAUCACACCAGACCACCCAAAGCUGGCCCUGCCAACUGACCACACACACCCCUGCCUGAAAGGCAUGUUUCAAUGUGCAACAGACGCCUGCCACUCAGGGGACAUCAAAUGUUCAUGAGAACUCGCUAACCUCGAAACAGGUGACUGUCAAGACUGGCUGAGGAUUGAAACUCUGGGGAAAUUUGCUAGAAUAUGUGUGGAUUGCUGGGCCAGCUUCCCGAUGGGCUGAUCUUUAGGUGCCGGGCUGGGGAUGCGCAUUCUCAGCACUGCUGCUGGGUGGUUCUGUGAAGUAGACCCUUGGUAACCACUGCAUUAGACCACCUAGGUCUCUGCCACUUCCACACUGUGGACACUUCGAUGGAUCAUUCUUUGUGGUGGGCACUGUCCAGUGCAUUGCUGGAUAUUCAGCAGCAUUCCUGAACUCUUCUUGCCAGAUACCAGUAGCACCCUUCCUGUCCCCUCCCAUGUCACCAUAUGACAACCCAAAAGAUCUCCAGACGUUGCCACAUGUUCCCAGGCAGCAAACUCCCUUCCAUGGUAACUACUGUCCUAGGCUGUUUACAAGGUUAUUAGUGAUGGUGACAGCCAUAAUGAGGAACCAGGCUCUGUGCCGAGCACUCACUGCAUCUCAUUCUGUGUAAUCCUCAUGGUCAUAUUCUUAGGCAAUCUUUUCAUCAUUGUUUAUAAAACUCAGAGAAUUUAAACAGCUUUCCCAAGGUCAUGGGUAAUCAGUGGCCACAGCUUGAUGCCUACCUCUGUUUGACUCCAAAGUGGACUCAGGGGUCAGAUAGAUCCAGAGGGUGACAGAAACCUCAUCCUGGAGACUGGGGGUUCUUCCAAGGCUUGUUCUUGUCACUUUUUUUUUUUUUUUUUUUGAGAUGGAGUCUUGCUCUGUUGCCCAGGCUGGAGUGCAGUGGCGCGAUCUCAGCUCACUGCAAGCUCCGCCUCCCAGGUUCACGCCUCCCAGGUUCACGCCUCCCGAGUAGCUGGGACUACAGGUGCCUGCCACCAUACCUGGCUAAUUUUUUGUAUUUUCAGUAGGGACGGGUUUUCGCCAUGUUGGCCAGGAUAGUCUCGAUCUCCUGAACUCGUGAUCCGCCCUCCUCCGCCUCCCAAAGUGCUGGGAUUACAGGCGUGAGCCACCGCACCGGGCCUCUUGUCACUAUUUAACAAAGCAUAAUGGCUCCUCUCUGCCUACUCUACCAGAUCCAUGCUCUUUAGCCUGCCAGGCCAGGCUGUCCCUACCUCACAUCCCCUGAUCAGCUACAUUAUAAUCUAAGGCCUAUCUCCUCUUUAACCCUGAACGUACCUUGCUCAUUUUCACUGUAGGGCUGUUUCUUUCAUUCAGGGGUCUCAAACUCAAAUGUCUAUAGGGGCCUAGAGGGUAAAUUAACAAACAAAGUGGGCUCAGUGCAAGAUGAUAAAUGGCAAUGGAUCUUUCAGCCUCAUUUGGAGAGACCUUGGGAAUGGUGAGGACUGUGACCUCAGUGGAGCACCUACUUUACUGAGACAGGGCAGCUGCUUCUCCAUCUUGCCCUGUGCUAGUCUUGCUGGAUAUUUUAUUUUUCAAGAAAUAAAAUAUGGAAUGUGGAAUAAUAUGUGUGACUUAUCAAUUUUUAAAUUUUGGUAGGUUCUACAAAUUCAAAAAAACCACCCGUGGCCUGGCUCUGGGCUGAAGCUGAGUCCUGGCUUGAAAUCCCCUGCCUUAAUCUCUCUUCGAAGACUUUUCUGCAUUCAUCUGAGUCCUCAUCCUCCAAGGCAGGGCUCAGGCUUGGGCUCAGGCUCCCAGCCAUGUAUCCCUCCUGGACCAUUCCUGACUCCUUUCCAGUAUCCUUAUCACUUGUACCACAUACGUUGGCCUUUGAUCCUGUGUACUGUUGGAUUUGUCUUUACUUCACAGGUUCAUCUUGUCUCCCCAAGAACAAUGAGAGUUGCCUCAAGGGGUAGAACCAUGCUUUUUGUUUUCUUUUGAAUUCAUUACAGCACAGCCAAAAGCUCAACACACAAAACACACUCAGUAAAUAUCUGUUGAACAGAAUAAAAGCCAUUCCGCAUAACCAACCCUGAUCUCUUUUGCUGGACUGUAAACCAACCUACCUAUUGUUAGUCCUUCACAGAUUAUAUGGUGGAUCUGAACACAUCAGGUAGAACCUUUGAUAAACUUAAAGUCCUUCAUUGAAUCACUCUGUAGCCACUGUUUUCUCUAGGACAAAAGCUUUAAAUAUUUUGAGAAAAUUGUACAAGACCAUCCAUCCUGAUUCUCAUGGCUUUGGUUGUUCAGAAAGGAAAUCUUUGUACACACACCAUUUCACUGCCUCCUUUUCAGUUUCCCAAUUUGGAAAAAGGAAAAAUGUGAACUAUCCCCCUCUUCGCGUUCUUUUCUAACUGAAGUGAUAGAUUUCAGAGUCGUAUAAAGCUAAGAUUAUCGUUUAUCAUAUCUCAG
rnacentral:lncRNA from 1 species